CUGGGUAGAAGAUAGAUCUGAGUUUCAUCUGUUUUUUCUCCUCCUUCUCUUCCGUCGCUCGUGCGAUGUAGAUUCUCGUCGAAGAAGAAGCUUUGAUCGAUUGGUUUCGAUCAAAGUCACAUUAAAACAAUGCUUCACGUCUUGAAAGACUACGCAGGCGUCUCUUGUUUCCUUGUCCUGUUCGCGGGAAUCAUGUCUGGUCUGACUUUGGGGCUCAUGUCUCUCGGUCUCGUGGUGCUCGAGAUUCUCCAACGCAGUGGCACUCCCAACAAGAAGAAACAAGCCACUGCGAUAUUCCUGGUUGUUCAGAAUUAGUAUCAGCUUUUAGUGACACUGCUUCUGUGCAAUGCUGUUGCAAUGGAGAUGAGAAGAUCAUUUGGUUCUUGAUCAAGUUUAUCGUUUCUUUGGAGUUUGCUCUUGAUCGAGUAUAGUUCUUAUGCCUCUGUAUGAUUGAAACUCUGCUUUCUUCAAGUCUCACAGGGUACUUAACCAAAGAUGCUUCAAGCCUUAUAGAUUACAUAACAAAGAUGCUUUCUUGGUUUCUUGAUUAGGAAAAUGUCAAGUAUCUUCCCCGGAUUAAGCUAGGAAGAAACAGUCUGUUACUACUCUACAGGCCAUGGCUAAGAGAGCAAAAGCAGAGUUGAAAGGAGGGACUUUGAAGACAGUGAGUGAUAAAGGCAAUGGAAGCAACUCUGCGAAGAGUCUCACAGGUUCAGAGAAAGCGAAGCCCUUAAAGAAGACUGAAUUGGUCAAGAAACCAUUGCCUAAGAUGAUAAAGACUCCAGGAAAAUCAGUGGUUGAAGUAAAAGAACGUAAGGAUCAGGUUCAAGGGGCUCGCAGGAGAUUAAGGAUCAUGGCCAUGUAAAGUUUCUACUCCCCGGUUUUCCUGGAAGCUCACCUAAGACAAAGCAGUCAUUCCCUCAAAAGCAAAACUCUAAAAGUAAUCUGUUCGUAGGUUCUCCAGUAAUAAGACCAAAAGCAUUACAUGUUAAGUCACCAAUGAAAAACACAACUUGUAUCUUGAUUCUUUAGAGAACUCAUUUGUUAAGCAGUUGUAUUCCUUGCUUGCGGAAGGAGGGACUCAGACUAGAACUCGUGGUAUGCAGUCUAAACAUCACUUUGGUGUUUUUGUUUCAUUCAGUCACAUGUAAUCUUGUGAGUUUGAGUUUGUUGAUUCAUUCAGUGGUUACAUACAACAAUGAGAAAAAGAACAUUCACAGA